rnacentral:rRNA from 1 species
AGAGUUUGUUCCUGGCUCAGGAUGAACGCUGGCGGCGUGCCUAACACAUGCAAGUCGAGCGGGAAUCAACUGAUUGAAACUUCGGUAGAUUGAAGUUGAGGAGAGCGGCGGACGGGUGAGUAACGCGUAGGCAACCUGCCCUUUACACAGGGAUAGCCACUGGAAACGGUGAUUAAAACCUGAUGAUACCAAAGUUCCACAUGCUACUUUGGUCAAAGAUUUAUCGGUAAAGGAUGGGCCUGCGUCUGAUUAGCUAGUUGGUGAGGUAACGGCCCACCAAGGCAACGAUCAGUAGCCGACCUGAGAGGGUAACCGGCCACACUGGGACUGAGACACGGCCCAGACUCCUACGGGAGGCAGCAGUAGGGAAUCUUCCGCAAUGGACGCAAGUCUGACGGAGCAAUGCCGCGUGAAUGAAGAAGGUCUUCGGAUCGUAAAAUUCUGUUGUUAGAGAAGAACAAGGAGUAGGUAACUACUACUCCCUUGACGGUAUUUAACCAGAAAGCCACGGCUAACUACGUGCCAGCAGCCGCGGUAAUACGUAGGUGGCAAGCGUUGUCCGGAUUUAUUGGGCGUAAAGGGAGCGCAGGCGGUGACUUAAGUCUGAUGUGAAAGCCCACGGCUCAACCGUGGAAGGUCAUUGGAAACUGGGUCACUUGAAUAUAGAAGAGGAAAGUGGAAUUCCAUGUGUAGCGGUGAAAUGCGUAGAUAUAUGGAGGAACACCAGUGGCGAAGGCGACUUUCUGGUCUAUUAUUGACGCUGAGGCUCGAAAGCAUGGGUAGCAAACAGGAUUAGAUACCCUGGUAGUCCAUGCCGUAAACGAUGAGUGCUAGGUGUUGGGG